rnacentral:ncRNA from 1 species
CACGGACAAGAUUGACAGAUUGAGAGCUCUUCAGUUCCACGGGUGUUGGUGCCUGGCCGUUCUUGGUGGAGGAAUUUGUCUAGUCAAAGCCAAUAAUAAACAAGACUCCAGCAUGCUAACUAGGUAUGCAACCCUCUGGUGGUUGGCGUCCAUCUCCUUCAAGAGACAAGUAGCAUUCUGCAACAUGAGGUAAGGCAACAACAGAUCUGUGAUGCUCUU